rnacentral:rRNA from 1 species
GACAGUUCGGUCCCUAUCCGUCGUGGGCGUAGGAAAUUUGAGAGGAGCUGUCCUUAGUACGAGAGGACCGGGAUGGACAUACCUCUGGUGUACCAGUUGUCGUGCCAACGGCAUAGCUGGGUAGCUAUGUAUGGACGGGAUAAGUGCUGAAAGCAUCUAAGCAUGAAGCCCCCCCUCAAGAUGAGAUUUCCCAACUUCGGUUAUAAGAUCCCUCGAAGAUGACGAGGUUAAUAGGUUCGAGGUGGAAGCGUGGUGACACGUGGAGCUGACGAAUACUAAUCGAUCGAAGACUUAAUCAA